AUUGAACGCUGGCGGCAUGCCUCACACAUGCAAGUCGAACGGCAGCACGGGAGCAAUCCUGGUGGCGAGCGGCGAACGGGUGUGUAAAGUAUCGGAACGUGCCCAGUCGUGGGGGAUAACGUAGCGAAAGUUACGCUAAUACCGCAUACGAUCUAUGGAUGAAAGCGGGGGAUCGCAAGACCUCGCGCGAUUGGAGCGGCCGAUAUCAGAUUAGGUAGUUGGUGGGGUAAAGGCUCACCAAGCCAACGAUCUGUAGCUGGUCUGAGAGGACGACCAGCCACACUGGAACUGAGACACGGUCCAGACUCCUACGGGAGGCAGCAGUGGGGAAUUUUGGACAAUGGGCGAAAGCCUGAUCCAGCCAUUCCGCGUGCAGGAUGAAGGCCCUCGGGUUGUAAACUGCUUUUGUACAGAACGAAAAGGUUUCUACUAAUACUAGGAGCUCAUGACGGUACUGUAAGAAUAAGCACCGGCUAACUACGUGCCAGCCGCCGCCGUAA
rnacentral:rRNA from 1 species